rnacentral:tRNA from 1 species
UGAUAAUUAGUUUAAGUAAAAACAAAUGAUUUCGACUCAUUAGACUAUGGAUCAACCAUAAUUAUCAA